UACGGAGGGUGCGAGCGUUGUCCGGAAUCAUUGGGCGUAAAGGGCGCGUAGGUGGCCCGGUCAGUUCGUGGUGAAAGCGCGGGGCUCAACCCUGCGUCGGCCAUGAAUACUGCCGCGGCUGGAGCACUGUAGAGGCAGGCGGAAUUCCGGGGUGUAGCGGUGGAAUGCGUAGAGAUCCGGAAGAACACCGGUGGCGAAGGCGGCCUGCUGGGCAGUGCUGACACUUGAGGCGCGACAGCGUGGGGAGCAACAGG
rnacentral:rRNA from 1 species